rnacentral:lncRNA from 1 species
AUAUAUGAUAACCAUCCUGUAAUAGAGAGUGUGACAAUUUACUUCACAGUGCGUUUCGGGCUGCUAAUUGAUCGUUUCAGUCCAGGGACGAUUUGGAAUAAAUUAUACCCAUCAAAAGGAUAUCACAGCUCAUUUUGGUGGAAGGCUUUCCUUGUCGCUUCGCGUACGUCUUCUGGAGGGCGGACGGCACCCGCGGCCGGGGAGGAGGGGAGGGAGCCGGCGGCGAAGGGAGGCCGGCGGGGCGGGGCCGGCGGGGCGGGGCGGGGCGGGGCGGGACGGGGGCCGCUGGGACGGAGCGGGACGGGGGGCGGGACGGGGGCGGGGCGGGGCCGGCAGGACCGGACGGGACGGGGGGCGGGACGGGAUGGGGCGGGGCCGGCGGGACGGGGCGGGGCCAUCGGGAGCGCGCGCCCGCGCGCCCGCGCCCCGUCAGCUGCAGGUCCGGAGCCGGACGGUAGAGGCCUCCCUUCUGAGGAGGCGGCGCGGCCGCGCGGGGCCGGGGUGAGCGCUCCCAGCCGCGCGUCCUUCCGGACCGGGUCCCUGCGCGGCCCGACCCGGUGCGAGUAUUCCCCACCCGCCGUCCUCCUCCGCAGGCGGCGCCGCCCGUUCUUUGGAGGUGAGAGCGUCGGCCGGGCCGAGGGCCCUGCUGGGGGGUGCUCCGGUGCGCCGGGUCUCCCCCCGGCUCGUCGCCUCCCCAGGGGCGUGGGGUGGGGCGGGGGCGGUGGGCGCGGGAGCGCGGGGCGCUGCUCUCUGAGCCCCGGGAGCGGGACCGCCGCGGCCCCGUGGGGGGCUUUGUGUGCAGCCGGUGGGCGGCUCGGGUGGCCCCGCUUCUCACGCCGCGGCUGGGGAGGGGGCUCGGGGCCGACCCAGGCUCGGGGAGGGGGAGCGCGAGGACAGGGCGAGUCGGGCCUGCGGGCGACGCGAGGCCGCGCGGGGGGCGCCGCUGCCCCAGGUCGCGAGGGAGGAGGGGGGCGCCCUGGGGGACGCGGCCGCCGCGGAGGCCCGAAAGCCUCGGUGCCCGGCCUCUGA